rnacentral:rRNA from 1 species
AUUGAACGCUGGCGGCAGGCUUAACACAUGCAAGUCGAGCGGAGAGAAGUAGCUUGCUACUGAUCUUAGCGGCGGACGGGUGAGUAAUGCUUAGGAAUCUGCCUAUUAGUGGGGGACAACAUUUCGAAAGGAAUGCUAAUACCGCAUACGUCCUACGGGAGAAAGCAGGGGAUCUUCGGACCUUGCGCUAAUAGAUGAGCCGAAGUCGGAGUAGCUAGUUGGGGGGGUAAAGGCCUACCAAGGCGACGAUCUGCAGCGGGUCUGAGAGGAUGAUCCGCCACACUGGGACUGAGACACGGCCCAGACUCCUACGGGAGGCAGCAGUGGGGAAUAUUGGACAAUGGGCGGAAGCCUGAUCCAGCCAUGCCGCGUGUGUGAAGAAGGCCUUAUGGUUGUAAAGCACUUUAAGCGAGGAGGAGGCUACUUUAGUUAAUACCUAGAGAUAGUGGACGUUACUCGCAGAAUAAGCACCGGCUAACUCUGUGCCAGCCGCCGCAGUAAGAC